rnacentral:rRNA from 1 species
GAUGAACGCUGGCGGCGUGCCUAAUACAUGCAAGUCGAGCGAACGGACGAGAAGCUUGCUUCUCUGAUGUUAGCGGCGGACGGGUGAGUAACACGUGGAUAACCUACCUAUAAGACUGGGAUAACUUCGGGAAACCGGAGCUAAUACCGGAUAAUAUUUUGAACCGCAUGGUUCAAAAGUGAAAGACGGUCUUGCUGUUACUUAUAGAUGAAUCCGCGCUGCAUUAGCUAGUUGGUAAGGUAACGGCUUACCAAGGCAACGAUGCAUAGCCGACCUGAGAGGAUGAUCGGCCACACUGGAACUGAGACACGGUCCAGACUCCUACGGGAGGCAGCAGUAGGGAAUCUUCCGCAAUGGGCGAAAGCCUGACGGAGCAACGCCGCGUGAGUGAAGAAGGUCUUCGGAUCGUAAAACUCUGUUAUUAGGAAAGAACAGAUGUGUGAGUAACUGUGCACAUCUUGACGGUACCUAAACAGAAAGCCACGGCUAACUACGUG